rnacentral:rRNA from 1 species
UACGUAGGGAGCAAGCGUUGUCCGGAAUCAUUGGGCGUAAAGAGCGCGUAGGCGGCUCCUCAAGUCCGGGGUGAAAUCCUCCCGCCCAACGGGAGAAGUGCCUUGGAUACUGGGGGGGCUCGAGCGGGGUAGGGCAUGUGGAACUUCCGGUGGAGCGGUGAAAUGCGUAGAUAUCGGAAGGAACGCCGGUGGCGAAAGCGACGUGCUGGACCCCCCCUGACGCUGAGGCGCGAAAGCCAG